GUUGAUACCUUGUCAAUAAAGCACAUGGCAGUAUGCAGUCUUUUUUAACCUUUAGUGCCAACUAAUUAGAACAUGUUUUAUUGUUAACUUGUUUCCUUGCCCUCCUGGUUGUCCGUCAGUCAGUCUGGCCUCUAGUGCUAAGAGGGUGCUGGACAGACUACGUACAGUAGCUGGUUUAGACUCCAUAGCCCCCCUGCUCCCUGCUCAUGGCACAGAGAUCUGCUGAGCUGACAGUCAGACAGAGUUCCUGUUAGAGCACAUGGCGGGAGGUUUCCAGGAAACUCAGACACACACACGCACGUACACACACACGCACACACACACACACACACACACACACACACACACACACACACACACACACACACACACACACACACACACACACACACACACACACUUGUCCACUUCUAUCCACCCUUUCCAUUGGCCCCCGAACAGUGUCACUGUGAGAGCCAGUGUAGACACAAUUAAGGAAGGUGAAAUGUGCUGCCAUAUCUCUUUGAGUGGUAAGAUACGAUGUUCCCUUUGAGAUGGGAGCAGGGUAGCUGGGUUGCCAGUUCUGUUUCUGCUCUAGCAAACACCGGUGUUUGUUGUUGUAGUCAGGUUUGACUGUUGGCUGGAGCCGUAAUGGAUCUGGAAACCAGGCUAGUAGCAAUGGGAAGAAAAGAGAUGGACAGAUUGAGAGUAGCUACUAUAGAAUGAGGUCUACGACAGGGGAGUGAGAGUGUCAGACGGGUGAGGAGGUUGUCCUUGAUUUGUUCAACACAGUGUGACGUCCGAUCGCUACUCUGAGCACUCGCCAUAAAUCAUCAUCUACAUUCUUAGGAAAAUGGGUUCCAAAAGGGUUCUGUGGCUGUCCCCAUAGGAUAACCUUUUUUUGGGAAGGGACAGGGUAUAUUUAGUCAGUUGCGCAACUGAAUGCAUUCAGUCUUCCACAUUUAACCCAAAGUGACUUAAUUAGAGAACUGUAGGAGGCUGCCUCAUCGGCACUCUGGGGGGAAGUUGUUGUGGGGGUUAACUGCGUUGCUCCACCUUGCUGACUCUGGGAUUCGAACAAGCAACCUUUUGGUUACUGUCCCAAUGCUCUAACCGCUAACGGGUUCUACAUGAUACCCAAAAUGGUUCUACCUGGAACCAAAAGGGUUCUUCCCGGAACCAAAAGGGGCUCUUCAAAGGGUUCUCCUAUGGGGACAGUCGAAGAACCCUUCUUGGAUCUAGAUAGCACCUUUUUCUCUAUGAGUGUACUUGAGGGGUGUGAAGCGCUAACGCUAAACCCUGUGUAAGAGAAUACAAUGCUGUACGUACGUGGUGCCCAGAUGGGGUUACUGUUGCGGCGUGUCUAAAUAUAACUGGUUCACGAUAGCUGGGGUUGACUUUCACUGUCUUACAUGAGCACUGGGGCCUUCUCGCUUUACGCAAAUACACAGAGACCAAACCCAUGGACAUGCUGGGAACCACGUGUAGAUAAGGUUACGGCUAUGGACGAAUACACAUACAGUGACUUCAGAAAGUAUUCACCUCCCCUCCCAAAAAAAUGAAUAUAUAUGUAUAUACAUAUUUUAAAAUACACUAAUAUAUCUUGAUUAGAUAAGUAUUCAACCCCCCCCUGAGUCAAUACAUGUUAGAAUCACCUUUGGCAGCAAUUACAGCUGUGAAUCUUUCUGGGUAAGUCUCUAAAUCAAAUCAAAUCAAAUGUAUUUAUAUAGCCCUUCGUACAUCAGCUGAUAUCUCAAAGUGCUGUACAGAAACCCAGCCUAAAACCCCAAACAGCAAGCAAUGCAGGUGUAGAAGCACGGUGGCUAGGAAAAACUCCCUAGAAAAGUCCAAACCUAGGAAGAAACCUAGAGAGGAACCAGGCUAUGUGGGGUGGCCAGUCCUCUUCUGGCUGUGCCGGGUGGAGAUUAUAACAGAACAUGGCCAAGAUGUUCAAAUGUUCAUAAAUGACCAGCAUGGUCAAAUAAUAAUAAUCACAGGCAGAACAGUUGAAACUGGAGCAGCAGCACGGCCAGGUGGACUGGGGACAGCAAGGAGUCAUCAUGCCCGGUAGUCAAGAGCUAAGAGCUUUGCACACCUGGAUUGUACAAUAUUUGCACACUAUUUUUUACAAUUCUUCAAGGUCCGUCAAGGUGGUUGUUGAUAAUUGCUAAACAGUCAUUUUCAAGUCUUGCCAUAGAUUUUCAAGACGAUUUAAGUCAAAACUGUAACUAGGCCACUCUAGGCCACACACAAUGUCAUCUUGGUAAGCAACUCCAGUGUGUAUUAGGCCUUAUGUUUUAGGUUAUUGUCCUGCUGAAAGGUGAAUUUGUGUCUGUUGGAAAGCAGACUGAACCAGGUUUUCCUUUAAGAUUUUGCUUGUUUAUUUUAUUUAUUUAUUUAACCUUUUUUUAACCAGGCAAGUCAGUUAAGAACAAAUUCUUAUUUUCAAUGACGGCCUAGGAACAGUGGGUUAAUUGCCUGUUCAGGGGCAGAACGACAGAUUUGUACCUUGUCAGCUCGGGGGUUUGAACUUGCAACCUUCCGGUUACUAGUCCAACGCUCUAACCACUCCAAGGUGACUCACCUCCAAAAGGCCUUAAAAUAACAGCUGGGUCCUCUAUUUGGGUCUCAGUCACGUAACACACACACUUGGCAGAGGCAGCUGGCCUAAAGGCCAAGGGUGGUUUACUCCAUGUCAGGGCAUGCAACUGACACCCUCAAUCCUCGUCCUAUUUCUCCACUUCAUUACAUACAAUCGGUCACAUCCAGUUUCACUGUACAUUUCCAUGUGAACUGGUGCAACUUUCUCUAUUUGUUUGUUACUGCAGUAAACAGUGUGUGCUACAGAAGAAGAGUGGGUAACACUUUACAUUUAGGUAACGUUUAUAAAAGUCAGUACGUCAUUCAUGUUUAUUUAAUUGUUUAUAAGUGCAUUAUAACAAUUAAUAACUACUGAAAUGUGUAUAUUGAUACUUUAUGUUGCUGAUUAAAUAAACGUGUCUUUUCAAUAUA